rnacentral:rRNA from 1 species
UGGGGAAUCUUCCGCAAUGGACGAAAGUCUGACGGAGCAACGCCGCGUGAGUGAAGACGGCCUUCGGGUUGUAAAGCUCUGUGAUCCGGGACGAAAGAGCCUGAGGUAAAUAGCCUAAGGAAGUGACGGUACCGGAAAAGCAAGCCACGGCUAACUACGUGCCAGCAGCCGCGGUAAUACGUAGGUGGCAAGCGUUGUCCGGAAUUAUUGGGCGUAAAGCGCGCGCAGGCGGCUUCCUAAGUCCAUCUUAAAAGUGCGGGGCUUAACCCCGUGAUGGGAUGGAAAAUGGGAAGCUGGAGUAUCGGAGAGGAAAGUGGAAUUCCUAGUGUAGCGGUGAAAUGCGUAGAGAUUAGGAAGAACACCGGUGGCGAAGGCGACUUUCUGGACGAAAACUGACGCUGAGGCGCGAAAGCGUGGGGAGCAAACAGG